UACGAAGGGGGCUAGCGUUGUUCGGAAUCACUGGGCGUAAAGCGCACGUAGGCGGAUGUGCCAGUCAGGGGUGAAAUCCCGGAGCUCAACUUCGGAACUGCCUCUGAUACAGCACGUCUUGAGUCCGGAAGAGGUGGGUGGAAUUCCUAGUGUAGAGGUGAAAUUCGUAGAUAUUAGGAAGAACACCGGUGGCGAAGGCGGCCCACUGGUCCGGUACUGACGCUGAGGCGCGAAAGCUAGGGGAGCAAACAGG
rnacentral:rRNA from 1 species